rnacentral:tRNA from 1 species
GCUCUCUUAGUUAAAUGGAUAUAACGAGCCCCUCCUAAGGGCUAAUUACAGGUUCGAUUCCUGUAGAGAGCGCCA